GUCUUUUUGAUCAUAAUUUAAAGUCUAAUCUGCCCACUGAAAAAUUUAAAGGGCCGCAGUAAAUUGACUGUGCAAAGGUAGCAUAAUCAUUAGUUUUUUAAUUAAAAGCUUGUAUGAAUGAUUGGACAAGGUAAAUUCUGUCUCUAAAUAAAAAUUUGAAUUUAAUUUUUAAGUUAAAAAGCUUAAAUAUUAUUAAAAGACGAGAAGACCCUAUAGAUCUUUAUAAUAUUUAUUAUAAUUUUUUUUUAGAAUUUUUAAUAAUAUUUUAAUAAAAAUUAUUUAAUUGGGGUAAUUUAAAGAUUUAAAAAAUUCUUUAUAAAUUUAACAUAGUUUAAUGAAUAUAUGAUCCAAAAAUUUUGAUUAAAAGAUUAAGUUACCUUAGGGAUAACAGCGUAAUUUUUUUAGAGAGUUCAUAUCAAUAAAAAAGUUUGCGACCUCGAUGUUGGAUUAAAAAUUAUCUUAGGUGCAGAAGUUUAAGAUUUUGGUCUGUUCGACCAUUAAAUUUUUACA
rnacentral:rRNA from 1 species